GACCCCGCACAAGCGGCGGAGCAUGCGGCUUAAUUCGAUGCAACGCGAAGAACCUUACCAGGGUUUGACAUCCUGCGAAUCUCUUGGAAACGAGAGAGUGCCUUCGGGAGCGCAGUGACAGGUGGUGCAUGGCUGUCGUCAGCUCGUGUCGUGAGAUGUUGGGUUAAGUCCCGCAACGAGCGCAACCCACGUCUUUAGUUGCCAGCAUUUAGUUGGGCACUCUAGAGAGACCGCCGGUGAUAAACCGGAGGAAGGUGUGGAUGACGUCAAGUCAUCAUGCCCCUUACAUCCUGGGCUACACACGUACUACAAUGCUACGGACAAAGGGCAGCAAGUUCGCGAGGACAAGCAAAUCCCAUAAACCGUGGCUCAGUUCAGAUCGUAGGCUGCAACUCGCCUACGUGAAGGAGGAAUC
rnacentral:rRNA from 1 species